GUCCACGCUGUAAACGAUGGGCACUAGGUGUCCGGGGUAUUGACCCCCUGGGUGCCGCAGCUAACGCAUUAAGUGCCCCGCCUGGGGAGUACGGUCGCAAGAUUAAAACUCAAAGGAAUUGACGGGGGCCCGCACAAGCGGUGGAGCAUGUGGUUCAAUUCGACGCAACGCGAAGAACCUUACCUGGGUUAGACAACGGUGGACAUCCCUAGAAAUAGGGUUUUCCCUCGGGGACUGCCGGUUCAGGUGCUGCAUGGCUGUCGU
rnacentral:rRNA from 1 species